rnacentral:rRNA from 1 species
AACAAACGCUGGCGGCGUGCCUAAUACAUGCAAGUCGAACGGGGUAGCAAUACCUAGUGGCGCACGGGUGAGGAACGCGUGGAUAAUCUGCCUUAGAGUGGGGGAUAACUAGUCGAAAGAUUAGCUAAUACCGCAUAAGACCACAGGAGCUGCGGCUCUAGGGGUCAAAGGUUUUUCGCUCUAAGAUGAGUCCGCGUAAGAUUAGGUAGUUGGUGAGGUAACGGCUCACCAAGGCGACGAUCUUUAACUGGUCUGAGAGGAUGACCAGUCACACGGGAACUGAGACACGGUCCAGACUCCUACGGGAGGCAGCAGUAGGGAAUAUUGCACAAUGGAGGAAACUCUGAUGCAGCGACGCCGCGUGAGCGAUGAAGGCCUUCGGGUCGUAAAGCUCUGUCGCAGGGGAAUAACACAAUGAAUGUACCCCGUAAGAAAGGAUCGGCUAACUUCGUGCCAGCCGCCGCCGUAAAAC